GUGCUUGCUUUGGCAGCACAUAUAUAAAAAUUGGAAGAAUGCAGAGAUUAGCGUGGCCCCUCAACAAGGAUGACACAAAAAUCCAUGAAGCGUUCCAUUAAUUA
rnacentral:snRNA from 1 species